rnacentral:rRNA from 1 species
CAGUAGCCGCGGGAAUACAGAGGGUGCAAGCGUUAAUCGGAAUUACUGGGCGUAAAGCGCGCGUAGGUGGUUUGUUAAGUUGGAUGUGAAAUCCCCGGGCUCAACCUGGGAACUGCAUCCAAAACUGGCAGGCUAGAGUAGGGCAGAGGGUGGUGGAAUUUCCUGUGUAGCGGUGAAAUGCGUAGAUAUAGGAAGGAACACCAGUGGCGAAGGCGACCACCUGGGCUCAUACUGACACUGAGGUGCGAAAGCGUGGGGAGCAAACAGGAUUAGAUACCCCUGUAGUCCCUGUCUCUUAUAA